rnacentral:lncRNA from 1 species
CCGUAGAGAUAUAGAUAUAUUUGUGGAGAUGUUGCAUAUUUAAGCCAGGGAAGCACAGCAGAUCCUGAGAGCUUCUGCUGACCCAGGAGAAAAGAGCGGGCAGGGCCGACGGGCUGUGGCACGGGGCAGCUGCCAUCGCACUGCAUUUUGGCAGGAGGCGCAUCCCGCCCGCCCCGCAGCUGUGGGUGGAGCACAGACGGAGACCACAACAUCCCACAGCGGCUUCUCGGGCUCAAUCCGCCCUCUGAGCCACCGCACAGCAAACGCGGGCAGCUCCAAACGUUUGGCACAGUCGGGCAGCUGCCCUGAGGGCAGCACGAUGCGGUCCGUCCUCAGCCCCCAGCAGGAAAUGGUAAACAGCAAAACAAUAAUAAUAAUAAAAAUGUAAACAACCCAGCACCCUGUCCUGCAGCACCACGACAGCCAAGAGAACAAGGUAUGUUACAGUCUCAGGGGACAUGGAGACACGAGGACAUCCCGGCCAACACGGGGUCUCGUCCCUAUUGCACUUUGCAUCAUAUAUAUUUCUAUAUAUAUUUAUAAAAAUACAAACUAAAGGGCUGGAGUCGAGGGGGUGAGAUGCAAGCCCUGGGCCAGCAGCAGCUCCAUGCACGUGGCAGGCUUUGACCUAUCCUGCUCCUGCCCGUCCGUCCCUAUCGCCCUAUCCUGGAAUCCCCUGCCAGCCUCCCAGGGGAGCAGCCCACAGCACAGGGCCUGAUCCUGCAGAGAUCCAGCCUGGGCAGGGCAGGGUGCUGAGCCUUCUUCCCUCCUUCUCCAUCAGCCCUUCCCAGGACACCAAGGCCUGGAUUGAGAACCACGCAGCUCCCGGCCCCACGGUGAUGGGCACCCCAGCACGCUCCCCCUGGCCAGCAAGUGCCCGUUCCUGGGGGAGAUGGGCAAGACCUCCCCCUCCUCCAAAAGAAACCCACAGGAGGAUCCCCUCAGCCCGGCACUUCCUCUGUUCUCUUCCUCAAGUAACUACGGUGUGAAUCGCACGGGGUGAUGCGCUCUGGAGCCCCUCCUGGGGCAGUGAUGCAGGAUGCCCCUCGCUCCCGACGCCGCCCCCCGGCUGCUCCUGCUACCUCAGCCGCCCAUCGGGUUUGACGGGCCCCAGUUCUGAUUUGGGGUCUGGGGACAGUGAGCUCCAGGAGGUUUUGCUGCAGAUCUCCAGGGAGGAGCAGGAGGAUUCGCUGCCGAUACAGACGUCCGCCACGGACCAGAAGGUGCUGAUGGCACUGUCUGCCCACUCGUCCAGCGCCCGCCCCGUCAGCUGUGCUUUCCGUGCCGCCGCCACCUCUGCCUCCUCGGGGUGCGGCAGGUUCAGGAUCCCCCCCAGGCCCUGGAAGCUCUGCUCCAUGUACUCAUUGCGGGGGGGGCCUCCGUGCAGCCAGCUGCUGUCAUCUGUGCAGGACGGGGAGAGAGACAGACGUUACCACUGCUGAUCCCGGCACUCCGCUCCUCCUCCCAGCACCCUCAGCAUCCUGGCCCCUUGCAGCCCCCGUACCCCAGCCCAAGGAACAGGGAAGCAACUGGAGGACAGAGGAUGGAUCCGGCAGACCCGUAGCAGCCUAUUGGCCUCGUCUGGCACACACGGAUACACAGAUAGAGGAGGAUGGCUCCUGCAGCAUCACGGGCUGCAGGCUGGAGGCUAGCACCAGGGGGAAGCACAUCAGACUGCCCACAGAAAGACCUCAGCCUCUCCAGAGCAUCCUCACCUUUCCUGAGAGGCUGCCUGCGGUUGAAGGUCUGCGGCACCACCAAGAAUUGGUUCUCCCCCAGGGGCUCCCAGAACUGGAGCAGGCGGAUGGUCCAGGUGCCGGGGCGCAGAGGCCGGUUCAGGGGCGGUUUGUACUGGGUGAAUUCUGUCUCAGCAUCCACCGUGAUGUCAUAGGAGGCAGCAAUAACGUACGCGGGGUCGAUCCACACCACUGUGGCUGUCAGGUUGGGGCCUCGCGACCACUUCUGCAUGGCCACUGGCUCAUCAAAAGGCCCCAUCAAGCCUCCAAAAUUGCGGAAGAGCCUUUCCUUGGGGUCCCACUCUGUGCCCACCUGCAGGGACAAGAGGCACGAGACAGUGGGACACCAGGCAAACAGAUGCUACCAGCUCGUGAUUUAUGCUUCACCAUCCCAAACUGGGGAGGGAAUGAGCUUUGGGGCCCAAAGCAAUGCACGCCCACCCUGCACUGCUCUCCUGUCUGCCUGCACCACAUCGGUGCCAAUCCAGCUGCAUGUGAUGCCCUCUGCAGCCAGACGUGUUGGCAUCAGCUGCCUCAACUCCCCCCGAAAGAUCCCUUCAAAGCCUUUUCUCCACUGUUCAGCUCCAAACUGAAGCCAAAUUCCUGGACAGAAGUUCAUUCUCAGCCAUGACAAUAGCACUGUGUCCCUCUGCCUCGCUCAGUGUGCAGGCUUAGAGAGAAAGAAGGGCAGCAUGGUGUAGAAAAGCUCAAGAGGAAAGCAGGAGUUUUGAGGGAAACUUUUCCCAUACCUCAAGGUUCUGUAACCGGUUUGCCUGUCCUCCAUGACCUGCCAGCUUCAGAGCUCCUUGGGGCAUCAUCCACACCUCCAGGGACUCUGCCCGGCCAGUUGCUGAGUUCUGCACUUCCUGCAUCACCAGGUAGCCCUGGAAACGGUCGUCAUAGAAAUACAAGUGAACACUGGAUGGGAAACCUCGGGGCUCAAAUCUGGAGAAAGACAGAGGUUGCACAACUGAGCAUCAGCAUCCUCCCAGCACGACGUGCAGCCGCCCCUCAGAGCCUGGACCAAGGCACGGUCAAUGCCCCACCUGCAGAGCUUCUCCUCCUUUGGUGCCCCCACAGACGCGGCUUUGCGGAGCCCCAGCCUGGAGAAGCCCGUGUAGAAGGUGAGGGUGACAUCACUGAGGCCGCUGAGCCCAUCGACGCGGUCGUAGACGUUCUCCCAGUACGCCUUCAGGGCGGGCGUGUUGGGGGGGUAGCUGCCGUACAGGUGGGUGUCCAGGAUCUCCAGCACCUCCUGAUUCACCGUUGACUCAAACUUGCGGGCAAAGAAGGUGGGUCUGGAGAGUUGCUGGAACAACACAGUCAUUUCUAACAGCAAUGGUGGCUUCCCCUCCGCCCUCCCACCUCAGCAGGGCGGCUGCGUGUGGGGCAGAGCGAGAAGAAGCAUGCUGGGAUCCAUCCUGCCCCAUCGGAUGGCAAAGGCUAAAGAGCAGCAAAGCACAGACUGUGUGUGGGAUCCUCUGUGGCAGGAUCAGUGGGAGCAAAAAGUACGGUUACUGGUAAUGCAGAUGGCUUCCUAUCUCUCCCACUGCCUUCCCCUCUACAUGCUCAGAAGCACCCAUGUGUCAUUCACUCCUUAUCUGCAAUCUCUGCUCAGAAGGGCUCCCGCCCUCCAAAGCCCCUGCAGAGCUGUGGCCAUGUGGCACAGCUUGCAGGAUCAGCACUGUGCACCACGUAGUACUGCAGCCCCUCACUAGAAAAUCCUGCCGAGGGACAGGGAUCUCCCAGACCUCCACUGUUCAGUUUACAUCUCAGCUUACUGAGAGCACAGGAGGAUGACACAAGGCAUUUUGUCCUGCCAAAGACGACAGCACUUUUUUCACAGGUUUUAAAGAACAGAUAUUUGCCCCAAGUAAUAGGUCUACAAAGAAAGAGCAGGGAAAUAGGAAAGGAUGUCUGGGAAAAGGAGCAGCAUUGCGAGCAGAAGCCUGGCUGCUGGGCAGGACAGUCAGCAUCACCCCGCCAGCAGAGCGCUUAGACGCAUCUGUGCUGAGCCCCACAGGGGCUGGAGAGCCAAUCCUGCUCCUGUCCCUCCUGGGCCGGGGUGAGGCUCAUGCAGAGCAGCUGGCAGUGCACCCAGGGGUGUAUCUGCAGGGCAGCUCAGAGGAGAGCCGGGCACAGAGACAGGGAGGAGGGGAAAGAGCAGGGGCAGAAAGGAGGAUCUUUUUCACCUGUAGCCGGAGGAAGUCCUGGGGUUUGAAGUCAUUUGGGGAGCACCCGCACCAGUCGACUAUGUGUUUAUAUUGGCACUUACAGCCCAGCUUCCGGUUCCAGUUGGUCACUCGGAGGUUGUUAUCGACCAGCGUCUCGCAGGCGUGGCUGUUCUCCAGGACCGUGUGGAAGAAGGACUGUAUAGCAAAGAAGGGACAGGAGACCCAGUAGGGAUGGAGGGUGGGUGGUUAACGGAGCCCCCUACCCCUCACUCACAGAAGAAAAGGAAGGCCUGGAUAGCUCACAGCACAGGGCAACCCAUCGCAGAUGGGCUCAUUCGUGCACAUCUCUCCUUAUCCAGCCCAGAAGUGUCAGGACCCAAAGCACAGGGCUGGAUACAAACACAACCCUUGGCAAGUCUGCUCCUCUCCCCACCUUUCCUACCAGCAGUCACAAAACUGCAAGAGCAGAACCUGCAGUGCCCUUCCCAGCUACGUGGCGAAGCGAUGGAGUGGGGCAUUGCUCAGAACAACGGAAAGGAAGUCCCACCAAAGCCAGCACCAUGUUUUUGUUUCUUGGGGCGAAGGAAUAAGGCUGAGAGAAGAACACAGUUCUCACAGCAAAGGCAGCUCUGAGCUCCCCUGCCUGCAGCCCAGCAGCACUCACCUCGGCUGGCAGCAGCGUGUAGGUGUAGAACUGCCGCAGCUGGGACACCAGCUGGUCGUCCGCAUACACCACGUACUGCACGAAGCUGCGGGUCAGCGAGAACCAGUCGGAGCCGCCGUCCACCACGAUGCCCUCGGGGAUGUGGCGCUCACCCAACCUCCACAUGUGGGAGUCGCACUCGUGGAACAGCCGGUCCAGACCCUGCUUCUUGAUAAACCUGGGCAGAGGGACGACCACGAGGCGUUAGGGACGGCACCCACUUUGCCAGGACACGGGGCGCAUCUCUUGCAGCGCAAAACCAGCGGAUUAGCACCCGUGAGAGAGCUGGCUGCUCGGCUCUGGCAGCUACAGCCAGAACAACCCCCUGCCCAUCAGUUUUGUUUUUUCCCCCUCGCAUCUCCCCACUUUCCUGCUCCUCCCCUUGUCUUUAACUGGGAUUACCUGGCAUUGUCUCGGCCGUGAGACUUCAGGAAGUUCUUAUCUCGGUAUUUGGACAGGAACAUCACCAGCUCCUCGUUGGUCCUGGCAGGUAAAUUAGAAAGUGUUAGUGGGAUAAAGCAGCCCAGUAAACACUCAGGCUGCAACAGCUAUCAGACACAAGGAGCCUCAGGCUGUGUGGUAGGUGCUGACUCAGUCCCUUAUCCGGUUGCUGGGCAGACACAGCCCCUCUGCUGUCUGGCCUGUUGAGGUGUGCAGGGGUGGUGCACGCUCAUGUCUUCACAUGUGUUCACAUGCACGUUCUCCUGCAACACCCAAGCAAUGGGAAAAUGUGGCCUCUGAGGUACUGGCUGGGCUCCUCCACAGAGAUGGGACCAGCCUUGCCCUGAAGCAUCAUCACCAGCACGUGGGUGCAAUCUCUAACCUCUUCUUCCUUGAGCUCUGUGCUCCUCCCAGCAAUGUUACUCCCAAGGCUGCUGGGGAACCGCGCAGCCUGAACCCCUCCAUCAUCCUCCCUGACCCAGCAAGGUCCCCACCUCGUGGGGUAAUCGGUGGCACUCAAGUUGAUGAAGAAGUCCCAGGGCCACUCGGUCAGCUCCAGCAGGUCCUUCAUGCUACGCAGGUACAUCUUCAGCAGGCUGGCACCUCCCCAGAUGGUCACCAUGCGCCAGGGUGUCACGCGGAUGUUGGGGUAGUGCUGGGCCAGCUCCACUGCCUCACGAUGGAGGUAGUUGGAGCGCUGCAGGGGACAAAGCUCACGGUCAGCGAGCACUCCUCUUCCCAGGGCCCUGCCCUCCUCACCACCAGCCCUGCUCUGUCUAUGCCCUUCUGCCCUCCCCACUCCCCCAUCUGCCUUCCUGAGCAGUAUCAAGAGUCAGACCCUGCAGCUCUGUGGUGCCCCAGUCCACAUCACAGCUAAACUUCAUGCUGCUGCUCUCAGGGGUUGGACUGGAAACUCUGGAAAGGGCAGCCAGACUCCACCUGCUGCCAGCAUCCCCUCAUGCUCCCGGAGCCCAACCCUGCCGGCAGGCUGGGCAGCCCACCUCUGAAGGGUUCUCCAAGCAGCAGCAGCAGCAAUGCCAUGAUCUGCUGCCUGCCCAGGGCACAGCAGCCCCUUUCAUUUAUAUUGCUGAAACAAAAAGUAGGGAACCAGGAUAGAAUUGCCUGCCUGAUCCAGCUGACCUUUUCCUUCCACCAGGCAAACUGACAUCUCCCUGGGAACUUGUGAUCUAUGGAAUGGACAGUGUUUUGGCACUAGCCAUGCCUUUAGGCUGUUUCUUGGCUGUUGCCAGCGCACAGAAAUAAUGGAGCAGAGGAGCAGGGUGUGAGCACUGUACCUUCUGGGCUGGAGUACAAUCUCCCUGCUGCCCACAUGAAAGGAAGUGGCACUGAGGGGAAGGUGAGCACAGACUGCUUGCUGCCUGUGGCCCCAAGGGCUGCGACCACCCUGCUCCGGGCAAGGGUGACAGAUUCUACUACUUCUGAGGAGGCAGAGACAGCUGUGGGAGGGUCACAGUGAUGACAAAGCCCACCCAGCCACUUCUUCCAGUACAGGAGAUGCCUCAUCUCCAUUUAGCACCUGUCUGCACCCUCACCUCUAUGGACUGCUUAGGCGAUGAAUCCAGACACCAUUAGCACAUCCUCUCCCUUCUUCCCUCCGCCCUUCACAUACCUUGUCGACAUGGAUGUAGAAGAAGUGCUGCUGGUGAUACACAGCCUUGAUGAGCCGCUUCAGCUGGCGAAUGGCCCUGCCGUGCACCACCAGCAUGUAGGCGAUGCGCACAGGAUUGCUGGGGGGCACCUGCUGCAGCCGGCUCUCGUCCCAUUGGAUCACAGGGCUGACCUUCCCUGCACGAAGAAGCGAGGGCUGUCGGCCACCUGCCAGCUUUGGCUCCAGACAGCACAGCCACUGCCCUACCACAUAUGAGCAGUCCCUUGUGUUACACUGACAGGGACAUGUUUGGAAAGGAGGGGUGCCCUCCUUAAAUGUGAUGGAAAGUGCAGCAAUGACAGCAGAGCAGCAAGAUCCCAGGUCGCAGCAAGUGAGGAUUUGCUCAAACACAACAGCAGCGGGCACAGAAAUAAGAGAAAGAAGCUGCCUACCUCAGGAAGGCCUCAGGUAGGCAGGGAUCUCCUGAGAGGUCCCCUCACCUCCACUGCCAACCCUUGCAUGAGGGCUGGGAAGGGGUGGAUCCUGGCUCCAGCCCUUCUGGUCACUCAGGUUCAUUGAAUGCAGCUGAGCUCCCCUGGGCUGGCCCUGCUUUCCCACCAGGUGCUCCGUCACUGUCUUGAGCCCUGACUUAACAUUUCCACUACACCUCCUCUGGCUAUUCAAAACAGAAGGUGCAGCUGCACCUGGCUCCAGUCUCUAAAACUGCUGCUGGUUAAGAUGAACAGCCCAGCUAAGGGAGGCUGGCACAGCUUCGAUUGUAUUACAGAGGCAGCGGAAAUCUGGGAAUCGGUGACAGGUUGAGGCAGCUUCGGGCCAGGUGGGACAGUCUGGCUGCACGAAGGCGGCCCACACGUCUCCCCAGGACGCUCCAGAUGCCCGCAGGCAGGCAGGGCACGUGAGCAGGACUUACCGGAGAGCGGGCAGUGGCGAGGCACAGACUGAGGCAUGAGGCUGCCGGCCCGGUGCAGACACACCACGUUGGCGAUUUCCUGUUGGCACUGCUUGCUGCUGGCUCUGGCCAGAGCCGAGAGGGCAUCUUUGCCCGUGAUCUCACACUUGGGGGUGAAGCUGUUCUCGGUGGGCUGCGGAGCCCCCUCCACGCUGCCCGUGUCACCCUGCUGGAAGACGGCCAGCUGGGCGUCCCCGCGCGGCUCCGUCAGGUUCCUCCGGCUGGAGGCGUCCGGUGCAGCCGGCAGCCGCCGUCCUGCUCUGUGUCGCGCUGUCACGGCUCUCACCACCUUUGACACCAGAGCCCCGGGGCUGUCCAGCCGUCCCCGCCACCUCCCGUGCUUCCGGCUUGCGCUGCCCCGGCGCCCGGCAGAGCUGUCUGAGUCCUUGGAGCCAUCGCCGUUUUCGGGCAGCCUGGCUUUCUUCUGCCGCUCCUGUUCCAGGUGGAUGCAGAGAAGGACACAGCAUUAAUUCAGGCCCGCUGCCGAUGUGCUCAGAGCAUCCUUGUUCCCAGCACUCAACGCCUGCGUCCCACUGGAGCCCAACAACCAACACCCUUCUCUGCAUCCUCAGGACACGCUGAGGCACAGCAGUGCUGGCUGCCGGUGUCACAACAAGCAAGGGAGGCACGGGGACCUCUCACUGCAGUGCGUCCUCAGGGCUGAGCAGAGGAAGCCCAGAGCAGCGAUCUGACCCUCCUGCCCCCAGCAGAAUAAUUAGCUUCGUGUACAACAGCUCAGUGCUGCAGCAUGCCAGGUGUUCCAGCAGCAAACCAGGCCUUCACUCCACUCUCCCAACCAAAACCCCAACUCCAGCCCCACAGCACCUCCCUGCAUGGUGCUUUGCUCCCUCACAGGGACAGCCCCCAAGCCUCUACAUGCCAGCAAGAGAGAGACUGGUCUGCAGCCCCUAUGACUGCAGCACCCGAGACACACAACCAGGACACUGCUCCAAGGUCCCCUGUGCCUUCCUGCCACACUUCAGGGUCCUCUGUAGGCACAGAGCAGUGAGGACAAGCACAGGGCUCCCCUAGCUGGUGGUGCUGACUUUGCCAGGUAGCAAACAGACCAGCUCCUCACUGUCACAAUCACACUGUGAGCCCAAGCUGGCUUUGAAGCCCAAGGGAUGGAAUGAGAGACACGAGGCAACUGUGCUUAUUGGGACUGAAAGUGUAAGGAAAGAACCUGUUGUGCUCCCUUCCCCACAUCCUGGCUUCCAGCACUCGGCUGGAGCGGAUGCAGUGACCGCCAGCUUCUCUGGAAAUCCCUUUAACAAACCUUCCCACGGAGCCAAGUGUGUGCAGAGGGAGCAGUUAAUUGCACUUCAUUACCUCUGCCAGGCUGGCUGAUUAGCAGAAAUGAGUUAGCCUUGGGGAGAGCAGAGAGUUGUUGCUGGACACACAGAAGUUUGGAUGGUAGCAAUGAGGGAGGCAGCUGCAGGGCCAAGGAGCGGAGCUGCCCGUGUGCUUGGCAUGACAGAUGCCAUCAGAUUCAUGAGCCUCAUGGGUUACUCUGCCCACAGUGGUCCCAUUCAAAACCUUUGGGAGAAGCAAACUCGGGCACCAGACUGCAGAGCUGAGCACCAGGGGCAUGGCCAGGGCUGCCCACAGCUGGGAAGGGCUUUGGCUGGCACAGCCACCAGCAUGGCACCAACCAGGUGCCACCACAGGCAGCGAGACCUGCUGGGAGCUUCUCUGGGGCAGCAACAUCUUCUGAGGAUGCACAGAUGCUCACAGAGAUGGUGACACCAAGUUAAUUUGCUGCACAAGCCUCCCUGUGGACAUAGCUGCUAGGAAGGUCAUAGCCAGGAGAAAUCACACUGUGCAAAGUCUGGAAAGCAUCUGGCAAGACCUGCCUGCUCCAGCCAGCCUGUGUGAGCAGCCAACAGGCAGAGCCAGCAUGGUGUCCCUGAGCUCCCUGUGCCGAAUGGUCUCCCCAUAGCCUGCAAUCCUCAGCUAUGCAGGAAGGGGCCACAGGGCUGCUUGGUUCUGGCAGGGCUGGCAUCCCUGGUCCCAGGUGAGCCCACUGCCAGGUGUCACAGCCAGCCCCAGACAGGUGGUGAGCAGCUCAUUAGCACUGCACAGGCCCAUCUGUUUGGAGAGCUAUGGACCUGUUUUCAUGUCACAGAAGCAGGGAGUCAGGAAGUGACUGAUGAGCAAAGAGUUUCUUCCACAGACUCAGCCCAGCCUCACAAGAAGACCCCGUGGCCAUGCCAGCACACUGCCCACGCACAGAACCCCAUGUGUCCCCUGGAAGGAACUCAGCUGCUGGGGAAGGAAUUCCUCAGAAACAUCACCAGCCUUUCUGGAGCUGCCAGCUAACAAACUGAAUGGCUUCUAAUUACUGCACCACAGCAGAGCGAUCCCUCCACCCAGCCAGGCACAGAACAGCUCCAGCCACGUUGCUCUGCUGUAUUUAGGGCUUGUGCACAGGACUUUUUGGCAGAGCUCCUGUGAGAGCCAGCAGCUGCCUGUCCCUCCUCCCAGCACACAUGGAUGACUCCAGCCACCUGCCAGUGGUCUCUUCCUCCAUCCUCCAUCCUCACUGCCUCCAUCAGGAUCCGCAUGGUGCCAUGGGGCCGUUGGCCAGGCACCUAGACUCCAUCUCCCCGGAGCAGGGCUGGCUUCACGCUGCCUGCCGCCCGGUGACUAAAGCACCAUGUCCCAAACGCAGGGUGCUGUGGCCAUUGUCCCCAUGGCACCUUUCCUCCAGAGUGGCACCAGGAUGCCGCAUUCCCAUGGCCCAUUCCCACAUCCCAUCCCUCCUGCUUCCCCUGCUCCUGUACACGGAGCCCAUACUGCUGGGAAAGGAAGGGCACAGGGACUGACUACCCCAGGACUUCUUUUAGAAAGCAGUAGGUGAGCCUGAGAGCACAGCCCUUGCAUUGCCAGAGCCUCUGCAGCACAGAUGCCAAGUCCUCCCAAGCAUCUCUUCCCUUUUUUGCAGGACAGAGAGGAUGCAUCCAUCUGGGCCUCCAGGUCCUGGAUGCUUCAGAGGGCCCAAAUACACGUCAAAAACCAGUGAUGAGAGAGGAGCAGAGUUAAUGACAUCUGGUGUCCUGCAACAUUCCACCUGGGCUUGACGGACCCUGGUGCAUGUCAAAUACCAGCUCUCAUCAGGAAAAACAUGCCAAAAUGUUCUGAAGUCAGCGGGGGAAUGUGACGCUCAGCUGCUGUUAGUUCAGCCAGCAGCAGGUCCUUAAACUCAUGAUUCAAAUGGACUCAAUCACAGCUCCUAAAGACAAGCUGGCUGGGGGAAAAAAAAACAAAACCCAAGAAAUCUCAGCAAAGCUGGAAGAAAAGAUGUUUUGUAGGAAGCUUCUCUGGAGGCUUCAGCACACGGAUGACAGCAACACUCCAGCAGCAGAGAGGGGCUGCUGCCUGCAGCGAGGACAGGAGGGAGGUGAGGGCACGAAGACAUGAUUGGGCUGCAACACUUCUCCCCAGUGACAGCUCCUCACCUCCACCCACAAAGACACUUUGUGGUUUGUGUGCUCAAACCUGUGCUGUGCAAUGAGCCACCGAGCUGCCCGUGUGCUGCUCAGGAGCCCGCAGUGCUGCUGUGACGGUCAGAGGCUCCGCUCCAUGUGGGUUGGGGCGCCCGUGAGUCCCACCUGAGCGCCCACCGUGCUGGUGCUGCCUGCAGUGGAUGUGCUGUCUGUGCAGGUUGUGAACAAACACAGCAGGUCCCAAAGAACCAAACACAGACCAGACCUUUCUCUCCAAGCUGUCGGCCUACACAGGGAUGGGGGUGGCUGAUCCUGGUGGAACAAGGCCAUCUGGCUUCCUGGAUGAAGAAGUCGCAACAUGACAAUCGCUGCUGCAGUAACACAAAAUUCAGUGUUGACCUGGGCAAAUGGAGAUUGAUACACCAUAAAGGAAGAGUACAGCCAACAGCAGCCAGAGCAGCCCUUUUUUGGGAACACCUGAGUUGCCAAUGCGGGCACAGGGCAUGCAGGGUAACCAUCAGCCACAGCACUGCUCUGAAGGGGAAGGCGAGCUCGCCUCACCCCUGACGCUGCAUGGUGCAUGGCAGACUUGCAGCUCCCUUGUGCUCAGUCCUGCAAGUCACAGUUGGUGUGCGGUGGGAAUGAGCCAGGGUAGAGCAGUGUCCAUUAGUGGGAAGGCGCCAUUUACUCAAGCAAUUAGAUCCCAGAGUUUCCCAGAUCCAUCCAAGCCUGCAAGGUCAGGUUCUCCAGGGAGAGUUCUCCUGCCUUCAUGUCUACCAGAAACACCCCAGGGAACGGCGGCUCCUCCAGGUCUGGCUGAAAUCAGAAACUACAGGAGAGCACAGAAGCAAAGAGCUUUGUUGUCUUUCUAAAAGUAACAGUUAAUGGGACUUUUCCCAGCUUGCUGAUGGGUUUGAGCUGUCAGUAAAGUUCAGGAUGCUUCUUGCAUUCUCCAGAGAGGCUUCUCCAUUCCAGUCCUAAGAGCUGUAAUACUGGUGAUGGUGAAUUGUCCCCUGUAUGGAUGAGGGGGCUCAUGGUGCCCCGUCAGUGCCCAGCUCGGUGCUAGGAGAGGCACAAGGAAAACAGGACCA